rnacentral:lncRNA from 1 species
UGCAAAAUAAGUUAUAUCGUUAUGAGAGUGUUUUUGUUCUGUUUUAUAUAUUUUAUAAAUCAAUAAAAAAAUGUACCUAUAAAUUAAUAAGAUUUGAACUAAGAAUAUCAUGCAUGCAAAACCUUUAACUUAAUUUAUCAUUACAAUCAAAACAUCAUUUCAUUUUUAUAUGAAUUUUUAAUAACCAUCAUUGGGCAUCUCUAAUAAAAGUACUAUAGAGGCCACUGUAUUAGGAGUUAAAUUACAUUUUGCUCCCUCUAUUAAAAAAAUAGACAAGUUAGUCCAUGUAUAUUAGAUAAAAGAGCAAAUUGUUCAUUUUUGUUAAAAGAUUCAUUCAUUUGUAUCGUUAAAAAUUGAUGCGAUUGACAAAAUAACUAGACAAUGACACGUGACAUGCCAUAUAUACAUCAUGUUGACAUAUAGAGAUCAAUAUUUAACUGUAGAAAUAGAUAAAAGUUUUAAUAAAAAAUAAUUUACUUUUUAAUCUAAUAUAUAAGAAUAAUUUACCUGGGAUAAAAUGUAAUUUGACAAGUGUAAGUCGUUUUUAUUCGUAGAGGUAGUGAUAAGGUGAAUACAAAGGAACUAAUUUAGGAUUCUGCCCACACCGAUGUCUCAUAAUUAAGUUGUUGACUACAAUAAAGAAACAGAAAAAGGGUUACUGAAAUUUACAUUAUCGUAGAGCACUAAGAAAAGAAUGAGGAUGAUGAAAAUUAUAUGUAAAAGGAAAAAGAAACACAGAAAAAGAUCCAAACUAGAAACAUUAAAUUACUAAAAGUAAACAAGGAAAGAAGAAUCAUGAGAAGAAGAAGGGAAAGGGUGAAAAUGAAAGGUUGGGGUUGGUGUUAACAGCCUCUCCCUCACCCUUGCUAGCGCCACCUUGCAUUCUCCUAACAGCUCCGCCAUAAUCGAUACCUUAAUCAUUCUUCUGCUGGAUGGAAAUUUGAAGACCUCCAGUUCCACAAAUCUCUUUUUCUAUAAGAACAGAAAAUAUUGAACCUACUUUUAGCUUUCCCAAAUCAAGUGUUGGAAUGCUGAGAUAGAAAAUAAAGAUGCAGCCAAACGUUUAACUUAAAAAGAUAGAAAAUAUUUGUGGGGUCUACCAAGUACCAAACUUUUC